rnacentral:rRNA from 1 species
UGGGGAAUAUUGCACAAUGGGCGCAAGCCUGAUGCAGCCAUGCCGCGUGUGUGAAGAAGGCCUUCGGGUUGUAAAGCACUUUCAGCGGGGAGGAAGGCGAUAAGGUUAAUAACCUUGUCGAUUGACGUUACCCGCAGAAGAAGCACCGGCUAACUCCGUGCCAGCAGCCGCGGUAAUACGGAGGGUGCAAGCGUUAAUCGGAAUUACUGGGCGUAAAGCGCACGCAGGCGGUCUGUCAAGUCGGAUGUGAAAUCCCCGGGCUCAACCUGGGAACUGCUUUCGAAGCUGGCAGGCUAGGUGCUUGUAGAGGGGGGAGGAAUUCCGGGUGAAGCGGGGAAAUCCUUAGAGAAUUGGGGAAAGACCGGUGACGAAGCCGGCCCCUUGAAAAAAGAUUACCGUUCAGGUGCAAAGGGGGGGGGGGCAACAGG